rnacentral:rRNA from 2 species
UGGGACGAGAAGACCCUAUAGAAUUUAAUAUAAUUUUUGAAUCUAUUUAAGGUAAGUAAAUUUUAUUUUAUAAGUUAUAUUUUAUUGGGAGGAUAAUUAAAUAAAAUGAACUUUAAUUUUAAUAUAAUUUAACAUUUAACAUUGAUUAAUGAAAUUUUAAUAAAAGAUUAAUUAUUAAAUUAAUAAAAUAUUUUUUUAUUUUUUAUAAUAGUUAUUAUAAAAAUUAAUUACCUUAGGGAUAACAGCGUAAUAUUUUUAAAAAGAUCAUAUUAAUAAAAAU